rnacentral:misc_RNA from 1 species
AGUCGUAACAAGGUCUCCGUUGGUGAACCAGCGGAGGGAUCAUUACCGAGUUUACAACUCCCAAACCCCUGUGAACAUACCACUUGUUGCCUCGGCGGAUCAGCCCGCUCCCGGUAAAACGGGACGGCCCGCCAGAGGACCCCUAAACUCUGUUUCUAUAUGUAACUUCUGAGUAAAACCAUAAAUAAAUCAAAACUUUCAACAACGGAUCUCUUGGUUCUGGCAUCGAUGAAGAACGCAGCAAAAUGCGAUAAGUAAUGUGAAUUGCAGAAUUCAGUGAAUCAUCGAAUCUUUGAACGCACAUUGCGCCCGCCAGUAUUCUGGCGGGCAUGCCUGUUCGAGCGUCAUUUCAACCCUCAAGCACAGCUUGGUGUUGGGACUCGCGUUAAUUCGCGUUCCCCAAAUUGAUUGGCGGUCACGUCGAGCUUCCAUAGCGUAGUAGUAAAACCCUCGUUACUGGUAAUCGUCGCGGCCACGCCGUUAAACCCCAACUUCUGAAUGUUGACCUCGGAUCAGGUAGGAAUACCCGCUGAACCUAAGCAUAUCAAUA